UAAAUGCAGUCGAACGCUUUGUGGUUCAACUGAUUUGAAGAGCUUGCUCAGAUAUGACGAUGGACAUUGCAAAGAGUGGCGAACGGGUGAGUAACACGUGGGAAACCUACCUCUUAGCAGGGGAUAACAUUUGGAAACAGAUGCUAAUACCGUAUAACAAUGACAACCGCAUGGUUGUUAUUUAAAAGAUGGUUCUGCUAUCACUAAGAGAUGGUCCCGCGGUGCAUUAGCUAGUUGGUAAGGUAAUGGCUUACCAAGGCGAUGAUGCAUAGCCGAGUUGAGAGACUGAUCGGCCACAAUGGGACUGAGACACGGCCCAUACUCCUACGGGAGGCAGCAGUAGGGAAUCUUCCACAAUGGGCGAAAGCCUGAUGGAGCAACGCCGCGUGUGUGAUGAAGGGUUUCGGCUCGUAAAACACUGUUGUAAGAGAAGAAUGACAUUGAGAGUAACUGUUCAAUGUGUGACGGUAUCUUACCAGAAAGGAACGGCUAAAUACGUGCCAGCAGCCGCGGUAAUACGUAUGUUCCAAGCGUUAUCCGGAUUUAUUGGGCGUAAAGCGAGCGCAGACGGUUAUUUAAGUCUGAAGUGAAAGCCCUCAGCUCAACUGAGGAAUUGCUUUGGAAACUGGAUGACUUGAGUGCAGUAGAGGAAAGUGGAACUCCAUGUGUAGCGGUGAAA
rnacentral:rRNA from 1 species